UACGUAGGGUGCGAGCGUUGUCCGGAAUUAUUGGGCGUAAAGGGCGCGUAGGUGGCCAACUAAGUCAGACGUGAAAUCCCUCGGCUUAACCGGGGAACUGCGUCUGAUACUGGAUGGCUAGAGGUUGGGAGAGGGAUGCGGAAUUCCAGGUGUAGCGGUGAAAUGCGUAGAUAUCUGGAGGAACACCGGUGGCGAAGGCGGCAUCCUGGACCAAUUCUGACGCUGAGGAGCGAAAGCCAGGGGAGCAAACGGG
rnacentral:rRNA from 1 species